rnacentral:tRNA from 1 species
AGAGAGGUAGUUAACAGAUAAUAGUGCUUUUGUAAUGCACAGUUAGCCUAUAGGCUCUUUUCUA